rnacentral:rRNA from 1 species
UACAGAGGUCCCAAGCGUUGUUCGGAUUCACUGGGCGUAAAGGGUGCGUAGGCGGUCUUGUAAGUCUGAUGUGAAAGCUCGGAGCUCAACUCCGAAAUGGCAUUGGAUACUAUAGGGCUAGAGGGUUGGAGGGGGGACUGGAAUUCUCGGUGUAGCAGUGAAAUGCGUAGAUAUCGAGAGGAACACCAGUGGCGAAGGCGAGUCCCUGGACAACCCCUGACGCUGAGGCACGAAAGCUAGGGGAGCAAACAGG